rnacentral:rRNA from 1 species
CGCUGGUUUAUCAAAAACAUGUCUUGAUGUAAUUUAUAUAUAUUAAGUCUGCCCUGCUCAAUGAUUUUUUAUUAAAUAGCCGCAGUAUUCUGACUGUGCGAAGGUAGCAUAAUCAUUUGUCUUUUAAUUGAAGGCUUGUAUGAAUGGGUUGAUGAGGAAUUUUCUUUCUUUAUAUCAAAUGUUGAACUUAAUUUUUAAGUUAAAAAGCUUAAAUUUUUUAAUGGGACGAGAAGACCCUAUAGAAUUUUAUUUAUAAAAAUUUAUUUUAUUAUUUGGUAAGUUUAUUUAUCUUAUUUUUUAUUAAAUUUGGUUGGGGUGACUUUGAGAUUUUUUUAACUCUCAUAUUAAAUUUAAUUAUUUAUUGUUAUUAUUUUAGGAUCCUAUUUUAUGGAUAAUUAGAUUAAAUUACCUUAGGGAUAACAGCGUAAUUUUUCUGGAGAGUUCUUAUUGAUGGAAAMGUUUGCGACCUCGAUGUUGGAUUAAAAUUAGAUUUAAGUGCAGAAGCUUAAUUUCUAGGUCUGUUCGACCUUUAAAAUUNNACG